GUAAAAGUCGUAACAAGGUCUCCGUAGGUGAACCUGCGGAGGGAUCAUU
rnacentral:rRNA from 1 species